rnacentral:rRNA from 1 species
UACGGAGGGAGCUAGCGUUGUUCGGAAUUACUGGGCGUAAAGCGCACGUAGGCGGCUUUGUAAGUUAGAGGUGAAAGCCUGGGGCUCAACCCCAGAAUUGCCUUUGAUACUGCAUGGCUUGAAUCCAGGAGAGGUGAGUGGAAUUCCGAGUGUAGAGGUGAAAUUCGUAGAUAUUCGGAAGAACACCAGUGGCGAAGGCGGCUCACUGGACUGGUAUUGACGCGUGAGG